rnacentral:rRNA from 1 species
AGUGAACGCUGGCGGUAGGCCUAACACAUGCAAGUCGAACGGCAGCACAGGAGAGCUUGCUCUCUGGGUGGCGAGUGGCGGACGGGUGAGGAAUACAUCGGAAUCUACUCUGUCGUGGGGGAUAACGUAGGGAAACUUACGCUAAUACCGCAUACGACCUACGGGUGAAAGCAGGGGACCUUCGGGCCUUGCGCGAUUGAAUGAGCCGAUGUCGGAUUAGCUAGUUGGCGGGGUAAAGGCCCACCAAGGCGACGAUCCGUAGCUGGUCUGAGGAGAUGAUCAGCCACACUGGAACUGAGACACGGUCGAGAAUCCUACGGGAGGAAGCAGUGGGGAGUAUUGGACAAUGGGCGCAAGCCUGAUCCAGCCAUACCGCGUGGGUGAAGAAGGCCUUCGGGUUGUAAAGCCCUUUUGUUGGGAAAGAAAUCCAGCUGGCUAAUACCCGGUUGGGAUGACGGUACCCAAAGAAUAAGCACCGGCUAACUUCGUGCCAGCCGCCGCCGUAA